rnacentral:rRNA from 1 species
AUGACUAUAAGGAACCAACGAUUCUCUCUUCUUAAACAACCUAUAUACUCCACACUUAACCAGCAUUUGAUAGAUUAUCCAACCCCGAGCAAUCUUAGUUAUUGGUGGGGGUUCGGUUCGUUAGCAGGUAUUUGUUUAGUCAUUCAGAUAGUGACUGGCGUUUUUUUAGCUAUGCAUCACACACCUCAUGUGGAUCUAGCUUUCAACAGCGUAGAACACAUUAUGAGAGAUGUUGAAGGGGGAUGGUUGCUCCAUUAUAUGCAUGCUAAUGGGGCAAGUAUGUUUCUCAUUGUGGUUCACCUUCAUAUUUUUCGUGGUCUAUAUCAUGCGAGUUAUAGCAGUCCUAAGGAAUUUGUUCGGUGUCUCGGAGUUGUCAUAUUCCUAUUAAUGAUUGUGACAGCUUUUAUAGGAUACGUACCACCUUGGGGUCAGAUGAGCUUUUGGGGAGCAACAGUAAUUACAAGCUUAGCUAGCGCCAUACCAGUAGUAGGAGAUACCAUAGUGACUUGGCUUUGGGGUGGUUUCUCCGUAGACAAUGCCACCUUAAAUCGUUUUUUUAGUCUCCAUCAUUUACUCCCCCUUAUUUUAGUAGGCGCCAGUCUUCUUCAUCUGGCCGCAUUGCAUCAAUAUGGAUCAAAUAAUCCAUUGGGUGUACAUUCUGAGAUGGAUAAAGUUGCUUCUUACCCUUAUUUUUAUGUAAAGGAUCUUGUAGGUCGGGUAGCUUCUGCUAUCUUUUUUUCCAUUUGGAUUUUUUUGCUCCUAAUGUUUGUAGCCCCAUCUUCUUCAGCUUUGUAG